UCUCUGCUGCAUCAGUCUAACGCACCUCUAUUCAUUCCCACACAGCUGCCAGGCAGCAAAGAUUAGAAGAUGAAUGAGAUACUAUCCUUGUUCAUGAGUACUUCGAAUAAUAUGAGUUGUGAAACCUGGCUAGAAUACGAGAUUGGAAAGGGAUUUUAGUUCCGGGCCAGGGAUCGAAUCCAUGCCCUGCAGUGGAAGUGCGAAGUCAACCACUGGACCUCCAGGGAAGUUCCAGUAGGUUGAAUUUUACCAGCAAGCAUUCUGAAACUUCAGAUUUACCAAUGAGCCGGAACUAUUGCAGCCACCUUGCAACCAGGAGGCAACAAGCAGGAGAAUGAAAGCUAAUUUUCCAAGAAUAGCAACACUGGAAGAUAGAAAUUCCUUCUAUCCUUGAUCAUGGCAUCUACAAUCUAAUGCCAGAUGAUCUAAGGAGGAGCUGAUAUAAUAAUAAAGUACGC
rnacentral:lncRNA from 1 species